rnacentral:lncRNA from 1 species
GCUAGAUCGCGCGGCGUCUCGCUCGCGCGCGCACGCGUCUCUGUCUCUCUCUCUCUCUCUCUUAUCGUCCCGCCGCAUUCCAACGCUCUCCAUCGCAUCGGAGCAUCUCGCUCUCUUCGCUGGAUAUCCACCCGCUACGGUACGUUCCGUCCCUUUUUCUCUCUAUCCAAAGCAUUCGCGGUCUCUCGCUCGUGCCUACCGGAUAACUCCGCUUCUCUCCUUCCUUGUCCUCCCGCUGCUACGCGCUUCCUCUCUCCUUCCGACCCGAAUCUCUCGUCUCGCUCUCGAGGUAUCUCUCUCGCUCGCGCCUACAUCACGGAUAUGUCUUUUUUCCUCCCCUGUUCUCUCCCGCUGCUCCGAUGUGUCUCCCCUCUUCCUUUCGCUUUUGCCCUCUUUCUCCCGCUCGCGGCCCAGCAACUCGCGCCGUCUCUCUCGCCCGCUCGCGCGGUACCACGUCGCUGCCACCGCCGUCGCCGCCACCGCCACCACCACCAUCAUCGCCACCACCACCUCCCGACGACGACGAGGCCACCGACCGCCCCUCUCCGCGGCUCGAUAAACCGCCUCGACGCGCAUGCCCGCGUUUUCCCUUCCUUCCCCUUCCGCAUCCUCUCGUUUCCCAUAUGACCGUAACUCCAUCCUCGUCCCGUUCUCGCCGCCUGACGACCCAGCCUGUCCGCUCGCUCGCUCAUCUCGCUGGAGAACCGGCAAUGGAGUUAGGUUAGGUUAGAUUUGGUCGCGCAUCGCCUGCUGACUAUCACGCUCGCCUCGCCGUUUGCGCGGGCGGAGGGGCUCGGUCGCUCGUCCUCUCUUUCUCUCUCCUUCUCGCCGCCGCGUCGUGGCAUCUUUCUCGGGCAUCUCUCGCGAUCUUCUUCCUUCCGCCACUACCAACACCACGAAGGAGAGAGAACUUGGCGUGUGCGCGCACUGUACGUCGCGGAGUAAUCUUGUUUCACCGCGCGCGCGAAAAAGAGCGCAAACAAAAACGAGAGAAAAAGUGAGAGAGAGAGAGAGAGAGAGAGAAAGAGUGAUAAAGUCCGAAAGCGAGAACAUAGCGAAGAAUGCGCGCGUGAAGAAGGGAAAUUCUUUAUACCGAUGCCGAGAUGGUUUAAGCGCGCAGCGGGAAAAAAGAUUCUCGUAGACAGAUUUUAUAUUCGCGCGUGGAGAGAUGUCGCGAGGUCUGAGUGCGUUCGAAAUCGAAUUCGAUUCGAUUCCGAUGCUCCGCUCGAUGAACGAACGCGACACUCGACCGAAUUCCGGCGAGUCGCUUUAUUGACUCCGAAAUUCGAUCGGAUAAUUCGCGCGCUCUCGGAUUUCCUGCAACUGUCCUCCCCGCACGAAACCGUGUUGUCGGCGGGGGGAGGAGGGGGCAUAUACGCGAAACGCGCGACGUAACGUCGCGUCGACAUUGUUAGAUCUCUCUAUCCGCUCUGUAAUCUCGCUCUGCGGUAUUCGCGUGUGGUUUAACGCGGCGCUUCGAAAAACCUUCCGAUUCACAUCCGAUCCUCGCUGGAAUAUCAUCUCCAACGCUUGAUUGGUUCAAUGAAAUCUUCUCUCGCAAACGCGAUAUAUAGAACGACCGAGCGAAACAUUAAUGUCUUUAGUUUGAAAGUAUUUGAGAAUACGAAGAAGGGAGCUUCCUCUUUAAAUGAUGAAAAAUCCGCGGACAAGAAGCGGUGGGAUCAAAAUUGUGUCAACAACAAAUAUUGAAGGCAAGUGGCACUCAAUCAACGAGUCCCAGAGACUACCAGCUAUUACGGACCCGAUUCUACUGGCUAACUGAAGCGCAAAAUCGGGAUUGACGGACUAAUCGGCAGAAGCUCUGCGCACACGAGAGAUAUCUCGAUGAUAAUCGAUCCAAGGACAAGGGAAAUCAAUCGAAACGUAAGAUGCCACCCCUCUCUCGUGCAAAUUAGAUCUGUCAAGGAAAUCAUAUAUCGCGUAUACACGCACACAUACGACACGCGCGCUAUCGAUACGCCAGGGGGUGGAAGUAACACGACGGCGCAGGAGAUUCGACAUAUCCGUUAAUCCGUCCGGCUUAAUGCGCGUUCGAGGACCAGGAGGAUACAGGAAUCGGGGGAUACGUCCAAAGGCGGUGUGAGACCCGCUUUCCCGCUGACCAUUGGGGUGAGCAGGCAAGCCGCUGCUAUUAAUGGUAAAUAGACGAGACGUUGAUAAGAUGGAAACUAAUUAGAUCGUGGAGGAUGUCGGCGAUGUUUAAAAUUCAUGUAGCUAUUGACCUUAGAGAGGAGGAGUUCAAAGAGCAGUGAUUACUGGUGUUAAGAGCUACGGAUGGAAUGUAUAAAAUACGAGCUAUAUACGUUGUGACGACUUCAGGCGCAUGACUGAGCAUAAUAAAAUAUAUAUCUAUAGAAUCAUAUGUAUAUCAGUUUAUAAUUUUAGUAAUUUUCCAUCGUAUAAUCUCUUUCGAACAAACUGCCACA